rnacentral:lncRNA from 1 species
CCCCUCCNGUCACGUGCGCCAGCCCCACCAAUGGGCGGCGGCGCUCUCCCCGCCGGCCCCCACCCCUCCAACGGCCGCCGGCGCGGGCGCGCGGGGCCUGGCGGGAGCGGCGCGCCGCUACUUAAGGCGCCGCGAGGGGUCACGCGGCCUUUCUGCGCUGGCGCUGCGGCCGCGGUGCGGGCCGCGCCGCCCCCGCCAUGGCGGCAGGGAGCGCCCCAGGUGCGCCGGGCCCCGCGCGGGGAGGCUGCAGGAGUCGCAGCAACAUAA